CUAUGUGUUGCCCUGCGAUGGACUGGUGACCCGUCCAGGGUGUGCCCUGCCUCUCGCCCGUAGCCAGCUGGGAUAGGCUCCAGCACCCCCGUGACCCCGCACUAGGGAGUAAGCGGUUAAGAAAAUGGAUGGAUGGAUAUUUAUAAAACCCUUUCAAUGCCUUCCAUACAGUAUGUCAAAGACAACAGGUACAAUACCGAGUAGUAUUGUCCGUGAGAAAAAAAAACAACACCGGGGGGGAGGGGAAAAAUCUGUCUACAAAGGGUCCGUAGCAUUUAGAGCACUGGUCGUCUCAACAGCAGUGAAGGAACCAGCGGCACCCUCUCUCACUUAGGGGGACAUUCUCAUAAGGAGAUACUAUAAGGGGACACUUUCCAGACACAGGAGUUGCACUAACUGCCCUUAUACUGUUGAUUGAUGCUAAGCCACUCCCUAAUCUGAUUGAGGAUGAGGAGAGACCUCCUGACCAGUAUCACACUAACUCGUGGCAUUGUUAAAUGAAGACAGAGCACUCGUAAUUUUACUGGUACUUUAGUGUGUUUCUUAUUAUGAUAGCCCUCAUUUCAUGGGGACCCUCCCACAGUCUGAUAUCAACUAUGACUGUGGGUACACAAUCCAUGUGCAUCUUCCACCCAAUUGGCUAGGUCAUUGUGCCCCUGUUUAUGUUUCAAAUGGCUCCUACGUGAUAACACCUUAGGGGAUUACUUUCAGUUGACAGCUACGGAAGCGAGAGAUCAGUCUGAAGGAACGUGAUCGGAUCUGGGAUCAGACGUUCUCAUGGACAAAAAGCUCUGGACUACAGGCCAGAAGUGGCACUAUCGCUAUUUCCAUGGUUGGGUUUAGGAAAAAUCAUGCAUCAUCAAGAGUUAAAACCAUAAAUUGCUGCAUGACCUAACAGGCAAUCCAUGACCUACAGCACAUAUCCAUAUGCGGGUGGCUGACGUAAUGAAGGACAAAUCCUGGUUUGAUUGUUGUUUGGUGUUGAUUGGCACAUGGACUGACAUCCUGAUGAAGAUCUUUGGACCGGUUCUCGUGAUCCUCUUGGUUCUGAUGCUGAUUGUGUUGUGCGUAAUUUCUUGUUCGAGGGUCAUGAUCAUCAGGCUGGUGAAUCAAGGCCUUCUCAGGGUGUAUGCAGUCAUCCACCCUUUUACAAUACAUUACAAUAUACACCUUUGAACCUUGAUAACUGUGAAGAGAAACCUCGACAAUGUUGAAGAAAAUACACGCUAAGCUGUAAAUAUUGUGCUUCGGUGCUUUUGACCCCCCAUUUGUUUUAUGACGACUGCAUUGAAAAUUGAAAGACGUUGUGCUGUUCUGAUUUAUACAUGAUUGUUUAAGGAAUAUUUCAAUGUUAAAAAGGAGGGAAAUGUUGGAAGAAUACUGCAUUUAAAUAUAAAUAUUUCCCAAGUACUGUGUCACUAUGCAGCUCCCAGAAUUGAAUACAUAUUGUGGGCUGAAUUCUUGUCUUGUCUUCAGUGAGAGAAAGUUGCCUUUGCUGUAAACUGCUCACUCCUGAAAAGGUCCCAACUGAUUGUGUCUGCUUUAUUUAAUAUUUACAAAGGGAAUUCACAAUUUCCUUAAGAGUAAGCCACUAUCUUUCUUUACAGAAGAAGACGACAACACAACACAGACCUCAAUAGAGCAAGAAUAGCCUCAGUUCUUUCGGUAGUGGAAUCCAAGCACAUUUGUUUGUUCCAGAGUCUAACCCUGAAGGAAGUUGCUGAAGUCAUUACACUUCGACUGGUGCAUCUCACUGGUAUCUAGCCUACAGAGGCUAGUGAGCUGGUGUCAAGGAUUCCUUGGGUGAAGAAUCUGAGUUGUCAUCUCUUCAUGCAUGGGUUGUAGAUCAAGGCAGUUUCUUUAUGGAUAAAACACUCACUGUAUGUUUGAUCCACCGCCCCUGUAGCCACUCGAAGGCCGUCAGCCAUCAGCUUUACUCUACACAGAUGUGUGGUUACAGCAGCCCACAACAGCAUAUUUCAAAGGCUUGGUCGCCUGGCUGUAGCUGUUAGCAUAGCAAGCUAUUAGAUUGCCUCACACAUGUGGGUUACUACAUUUUAAACAGAUAAACUAACAUAUUAAGACAUCAUAUAAGUAUAAAUCAUGUACUUACUUCAGUAAGUGGAUGACGGACUGUAAGAACAGAUCCUUUAUUAUUAGGAGCCAUGAAGCAAACCCAGCAUUGUAGCACACUCCUUCCCGAAGCAGUCCAAGGUGAAACGAAAUCCACAAACAUACAAAUGCUGAGGCAAGGUUUCCGGCGCUGGUCUGUUGAAAAUAAAAGUAACCCACAAGAUCCUCAAUUGUUAAUCUGUGGUAGGUUAAAUAGGUUUUGGUGUAUAUUAAAACACCCAACAAAGGAGCAGUUUUUAUGAGAGGACCCUGCCAUGUUCGUCUGUUCACAGUGAGUCAGAGGAGGAUAAUGGCGGAAGUCCAGUUUUGGUUCAGUAUCAGGGGGCUGGUGGUCCAGAUUUUGCUGGGAGGAGUCCCUCAACUUGUGAGAAAGGUGAGAGGGUUUCACCAAACUUGCUUUGACCCAAUUGGAGAAAUGCGCAAAAUGUGAAAAAAGGAGGAAACCGUGCUCAGUGUGUGUAAACGUGACCCAUAGUCAUAGGAACGCUCCAGAAUGUCUAAAAAGUGGAUUUUGCAUGAUCUGUCCCCUUUAAGGUAUUGUUUGUUUUCUAGAACUCAGUUCAAACCUCAAAUCCUGCGCCCCCGACGACAGGGUGGGGGCCUGCUGUAUUUAGUGUAAUGGAAGGAUUAUGGACCAGAGCGUCAAUCGUGGGUUCUGGCCCAUCAGGUCUUCCAGGAAGGAAGGAAGAACCUUCAAGGAACCUUUGUUGGCCAUUAGGAGGCAUCCGUUGGAGGGGGGCUCUGUUGUGAAUUGCACCUCCCACCGCUAGGAAGGAGGGGCUCCUGCAUCCACCUUCAUUUGUGCAAGAACCUUUGGUUUGGAAAUGAUUUCCAGGCGUUUGGAAAGUAUGUAGGUGGCCUACAACAUUCAAGCAAAAGGUUAUUCAGCAGUGCAAGACUCUGCCCUCCCUAGCUGACCUUGAAGUGCUGAUCCAAUGUGCAGAAGCCACCUCACAGGAAGAGUACAUGGAUGACACUCUUGUGUAUUUUUUUUAAAUUGUAAAUUAUUAUGUAUCAGUCAUGUUUUUGAUGUCUAUUGUCUAUGUCUAUUGAUGAAGGGUGGGGCAGUGAUCUCUCCUCAAUUAUCCUUCUCCUUCAUGUGAUUCCUCCUUCCGCCCAAGACUGUAAAAGACUAGGCAGAAUGUCCCAUCCCAAGCAAAGAAGCAACUUCCAUCUUGUGUUCAAGAUUUGUACUGUAGCUUACAGUAUAUACUGAUGGCAAAUGUUUCAGAAUGAAUGUGAAGUGUAAAAAGUUUAUUACUUUUAAAGAUUUUUUUUCUAUUAAACUAGUCAGAUUCAAAUACACCUUCACACUGUACCGUUUAUUAAGGAUACCAUUUUACAGUUUUUGUGGCAAAAGAUUUUUAAUUUAGCUUCAAUAAAAAAAUGUUUUGGAUCAAAGUAUUUAAUAUUUGCUUUUUUUUCUACAUCCUUGGAGUGGAACAAGUAUCAAAGAACACGUUGAUUCUCUGCACAAAGUUCCUUCCACAAGUUUGUCAUCAUUCUGGACAAGCAUGUUAUACUGUGCAAAUCAAUCAGUUCGUGAGAGCCCACUUGUUGCAGAGAUUAGGGCAAGGCUGUUAAAUUAAUAAUAAUUAAGGUUUACAGAAAAUACUGUGUCUUGAGGCUUUUGUUUAUUUUUUAUUUUUUAUACAGUAUAACUGUGAAAAUGUUAUUUGAACAAACCAAAACCUGGUGGGUUAAUUUUGUUUAUGCUUUUAAUAAAAUGGAGACAUGGACACGUUAAA